rnacentral:tRNA from 1 species
GGAGGAAUUCCCGAGUGGCUAAAGGGGGCAGACUGUAAAUCUGUUGGCUUCGCCUUCGAUGGUUCGAAUCCAUCUUUCUCCACCA